AUGCACAAACUGGUCUGGCUACGUCCAGAUGUUCUGGCUUUGUAUCUUCUGCAUUACAGGGCUGGGAGGUCCCUGAGUUAUCGCACCUGGAUGUGUGUUACCUGCUGCUUCUCCACCCUUGAGGUGUAUGAUCAUAUCAGGACAACUGGUCAGGAUGUGCUACAGAGCAGCAUUUUCAGUCUUCUUGACUCAGCAGAAAAUGGCAUCCCAGCCCCAAAGCGUUGUGGUUGUCUGGAUACACGUUCACACAUUGCAAGGAUUCGACAGAAAAUCAGAGGAUCUCCUUUAAAGUCGUACCUUGGCCUGAACCAAGAGCCUGGGAUGUGAAGAUCCAUGUGGUAGGUUUGGCUUUCCCUCCUCCGAGGGACAUUAGUGCUCAACCUACGGAAAAAUGGACUUUAGAUGAUUGUACAGAAUUUGCAUUCUUGGCCAUUUUCCACCAGGCUCUGUACAAACUGUGCAGUGUACGUGGAUUUCCAGAAAGCUUUUGUCGAGUUUUCACAUCAAAGGCUCUGGCUGUAAGUUACAGCAGGAGGUGAAGGCGGUCCCUGUAGCUGGCUAAGGGUAGGAAGCAUAGAAUCAUAGCAUGGAAUACAUGGUAAGCUCUCCUGGUGGAUAAAGGUUUGUAGCAGAAUCCCCCAUGGAUGACGUAUUUUGUGGAUGAUAGAAGCAUGUAGGGUAGUCAAUAUUAAUGCCUCUUGGAACAAAUUGCAGGAGGAUAUGAUGAUGAGGAAGAAGAGUGCCUGCCUCCACCCAUAAAGGUGAGGCACACAGCAGCGUGCUGUCAGCAGGAGAGGUGAGAAGCCUUCUCCAUGUUGCAUUAAACCACAAACCAUUAAACUGCCUUUUGUGCAGGUAGAACUUUGAAUCUUGGGGUGGAAGGGCCACGCUGUUAAGUGCUGCCCUUUGGCCAUCCCUGCAGCUGCCAUGCUGUAAGAUGGAAACUGCAAAAGGCCAAGUCCAGAUCAUAGAGUCCUAAUGUGUCAAUUAUCUUUCUGAUGAUCACAUAUGGAUUUCAUUAGCUAGCUAAAUGGUACCUAUUAUGGAAUCUUACCAGCUGCAGGGAUUUCCAGUAGGAAACGUGAGAUGGGAA
rnacentral:lncRNA from 1 species